UUGCAACCUCCGCCUCCUGGGUUCAAGCAAUUCUCCUGCCUCAGCCUCCUGAGUAGCUGGGAUUACAGGCGCCCGCCACCACUCCCAGCUAAUUUUUGUAUUUUUAGUAGGGACGAGGUUUCACCAUGUUGGUCAGGCUGGUCUCAAACUCCUGACCUCGUGAUCUGCCCUCCUUGGCCUUCCAAAGUGCUGGGAUUACAGGCGUGAUGGAGAUGAUACUCCCUAAAUCACAAGGGUGUGGUGUGAAGAUGAAAUGGCUGCACGUGACAGAGGAGUUGGAGAACAGGAAGCAAGUGGAUUACUUGGAUGAACUGUGAUGGGCCCAAGAAGAACUAAGCCAAUCACUCCAGGGGGCGUUUUCCCAGGAUCCAGGCAGAGAGCUGAUUCCAGCAUCCACGUUGUAUCCCCCUCCCGCUGUGGCCGGGGUCUCCAAGAGCCGGGCACCCACUGCAGAGCUUCCAAGCCCAGGCCCAUUUGAACACAGGAGGACUUUUGAGGUUCAUUUAACCCCAAAAUCAGUGAUUCUACAUCUCAAGCUCAUAUUUUGAAGUGUUUACGGACCAGGGAUUUGCCAAUUAUUCUGGAUGGGCACAGGGAAGGGGCCCUCAGAUCCUGCAGAGGGAGCAUCUGAAAGACAAUGAGACCCUGUACACAACCAAGCUGAGCCUCCUGUAAGCACAUCCUCUGGGUGUCACUAUGCGAAAAGACUCUUUGUCUGUUUACAUUGCACAACGAAUUGUCCCUCUGAUUGUCCUAGCGUUGGUGCAUGCAUGGAUCCAGGAAGAGCAGGUAUUUGGACCCAACGAGACAGGUUCAUCUUGGCAGUUUGUCUCCUGUGGUUGCUUUGUGCCUGCCCCGUAUCUAUCCACCCAACUUCUGGCAGCAAUCCCUCCAGGACCCACCUCUGUCUUCAUGGUUUGUGUGUUCUGAUCCUGCUCCUUGGCCCCAGAAUACACCCUCCACAUCUAAGCUAUGCAGUGCCUCAUCCCCACAGCUGCAGCGAUUGGUUUAGGAAUGGGAAAAUAAUCCAAUCAAAGUAAGAUUGUCUAAUAUCUGAUCCCGCUUACCCCGGAGCCAGAAGUCCCACCUUUCCAGGCUCCUCCAUGUUCCUUUCUGGAGCAAUGAGGAGGAAGGUUCAUUCCCUUCUCAGGGAACUUGCUGCGGUGUCCCAGUCCUGACUGUCCCCUCUCUACCCCUGCCUGUGGCUCUCCCGUCUCCUGGCAUUCUAACCUGCCACUGAAUUCUUCCCACGCCAAACGCAGGUUAGGAACCUAAGCUCGGAUGAAAUGCUGGCUUAGACCUCAUUGCUACUGAGAAGCAGAAACCACACUUUUUAGUUGGUAGAGGUGGAUGUGGAUUGGGGCCAUAAAGUUUCCUCAAUCAUUGAAUAAGGAUUUCAUUAUUUGGACUAACUAAAUACAUUAGAUUAUUUAUACUAACUAAAUAAAUUAGAUUUAUUUUUCGAAGUUUAAAAUCAUUUUCAAUAGUGACGAAAAAGGCUGUAGAUGAGAUGGGAGAAUCUUUCGACGCCAAAUUCUUCCCAUCUCCUGCCUAGUAUGUAUCACUACACCUUGCCCAGAGAGACUGUAGGGGUGCUCAGCAAAAACCAUGGCUGGUUGAUUCCCUGGAAAAAGGGGUGCUGUCCCAGGGAGCUCUGUGCCCUUCCUGCCAACACUGGGGUCUAGAGGAGGCAAGUUCCCCUCUGAAGAGAGGGAGCAGGUCUAGAGAAGAACCAGAGGAGCUCAGCUGAGAUAUGGUGUAUGGAUUGGAUUUUGGUAGAAGAUGGGAAGAACCAAACACCUGAGAAACCACUUUGAAGAUCGGGGUCAGAGUAAGGCCUAACACAUAGUUGGCUCCCAGUAAUUAUUGGUUGAUUGAACAGCUCAAAGAGCAACUCGACCAAGAACACUGGACUGGGAGUCCAGUUACUUGGAUCUUGCAUUCCUGAUUUAUUUUUAUUUUAUAUGUAUUUUUUCUAUUUUUUUGAGACGAAGUCUCACUCACUCUGUCGCCCAGGCUGGACUACAAUGGCACGAUCUCGGCUCACUGCAAACUCUGCCUCCCAGGUUCAAGCGAUUCUCCUGCCUCAGCCUCUCGAGUAGCUAGGAUUACAGGCAUGCACCACCACGCUGGCUAAUUUUUGUAUUUUUAGUAGAGACGGGGUUUUGCCAUGUUGGCCAUGCUGGUGUCCACCUCCUGACCUCAGUUGAUCUUCCUGCCUCAGCCUUCCAAAAUGUUGGGAUUACAGGCGUGAGCCACCGUGCCUGGCCGUGAUUUAUUUUUUUUGUGUAUGUUUGUUUUUGUCAACUUGCUGUGUGACCUUAAGCAAGUUACUUAACUUCUCUGGGCUUCACUUUCCAUGGAUGAACAUUGUAAAGAGGCUGGAGAGAGAUGAGGACUAGGUACAGGCUUUAGAGGAGAGCCACCGCCCCGGACUUCUCCCUCUGUCACCCCGCUUUCCAUGACCCUCCUUGCCUGACUUUGUGACUCCUUGCCUCGCUAUCAAAACAAGUGCUGCAAUCUCAGUGCUUUCCAAGAGCCCUGCAUUGUUAGAAACUUCCCAGCACGCAGCAAAGGCUGCUGCAAUACUCGCUCUGCCUGCCUUUGCCCUGCGCUUCCUACUUACCCUCCUUUUGUUUCUCCCAAACAUCUGUCCCUGACUAUGCUCAUCUCAUGUUUGUCCUCAGCUGCUGAAAGGGCCACGUUUGUUUUCAUUACAAAUAAGACCACCGAGUGGGCUCCUGGCGUGGGGGCGGGACCAGCCGCGCGCAGUCUUCAGAGGCAGCCCCCCAGGCUGUCUCUGGAGGGUGUGUCUCUGCUUCCCUUUCCCCGUGUUUAUUUUCAGACGAAGCCAAGUGGCCCGGGGGGACCCUCCGGACUCCCAGCCUUCAGAGAGGAGGGCAGCUCGGGCUUUCGCCGCAGUGCUUCCUGCCCGUCACGUGUGUGCUCCUAGCCGGGGUCGGGGGAGCUGGUAUCUUGGCCCUUCUGGGAGGACGCGCACAGCCCGAGGAGGCAGAGCCCCAGACGGGAAUGGGCUUUUCAGAGGUGGGGUGCGGGCGAGGGGACGAUGCAUUAUUUUUAAUAUUUGAUUUAUUUUUCCAACUGGACUUCUUCCCGGGGCUCUUUCUGGGCCCAGCUGCCUUUGUGAUCCCGCGCCCCGGUCCUCGGCCUCUCACCUCCAGCGCCGGGGCGCCCCCUGCUGUCGGAAGCGGCUGUGACCGGGCAGAGGUGCUAUCUGGGACUCUGGGUUCUCAGCCCGGGGACAGCGAACCGAGGGGCAGAUGAUCCAUCAGAAAAGAGCCGGCACUGCCCAGCCCCGCGCCCCUGCCCCUGCCUUUUUCCGGGAGCGCGCCGCGCCGCACCCGCUACGGCCGCUUGACCCCAUCUUUGAGCCCGGCCCCAAGCUCUGGGACCGUCGUGCCCCUCAUCAAGGAAGAGCCAAGGACCCCAAGGAGAAGAGAAAGGAGUUCAUGAAGGCAGAAAUGCCUGGGGCCCACGAACAUCCCAGUGUGGCCCUGGACGGGACAUCAUGCUGGGCAACACAGCUAAAAUGCGGGUGAAGACCAGAUUUCUUGCACAUGGCGGUGACGGGAUGCUCCCUAGAGAGCUUCAAGUGGAUUCUUUGCUUUUUAUUUUCUCUCUUAAUAAAAAUGUAUGAUGUUUACAUUGUCAGAGAACAAACAG
rnacentral:lncRNA from 1 species